rnacentral:rRNA from 1 species
UACAGAGGUGGCAAGCGUUGUUCGGAAUUACUGGGCGUAAAGGGCGCGUAGGCGGCCUUCUAAGUCAGACGUGAAAUCCCCCGGCUUAACCUGGGAACUGCGUCUGAUACUGGAGGGCUUGAGUAUGGGAGAGGGAUGUAGAAUUCCAGGUGUAGCGGUGAAAUGCGUAGAUAUCUGGAGGAAUACCGGUGGCGAAGGCGGCAUCCUGGACCAUUACUGACGCUGAGGCGCGAAAAGCUAGGGGGAGCAAACAGG